rnacentral:rRNA from 1 species
GGUUGCGAUCAUACCAGCACUAAUGCACCGGAUCCCAUCAGAACUCCGCAGUUAAGCGUGCUUGGGCGAGAGAAGUACUAGGAUGGGUGACCCCCUGGGAAGUCCUCGUGUUGCAACCC